UACGUAGGGAGCAAGCGUUGUCCGGAAUCAUUGGGCGUAAAGCGCGCGUAGGCGGCCCUGUAAGUCCGUUGUGAAAGUCAAAGGCUCAACCUUUGAAAGCCGAUGGAUACUGCAGGGCUAGAGUCCGGAAGAGGCGAGUGGAAUUCCUGGUGUAGCGGUGGAAUGCGUAGAGAUCCGGAAGAACACCGGUGGCGAAGGCGGUUAGCUGGGCAGUUGCUGACACUGAGGCGCGACAGCGUGGGGAGCAAACAGG
rnacentral:rRNA from 1 species